CCUACGGGUGGCAGCAGUGGGGAAUAUUGGACAAUGGGCGAAAGCCUGAUCCAGCCAUGCCGCGUGUGUGAAGAAGGCCUUCGGGUUGUAAAGCACUUUCAGUGGGGAAGAAAGCCUUGGGGCUAAUACCCUCGAGGAAGGACAUCACCCACAGAAGAAACACCGGCUAACUCCGUGCCAGCAGCCGCGGUAAUACGGAGGGUGCGAGCGUUAAUCGGAAUUACUGGGCGUAAAGCGCGCGUAGGCGGUCUGAUAAGCCGGUUGUGAAAGCCCCGGGCUCAACCUGGGAACGGCAUCCGGAACUGUCAGGCUAGAGUGCAGGAGAGGAAGGUAGAAUUCCCGGUGUAGCGGUGAAAUGCGUAGAGAUCGGGAGGAAUACCAGUGGCGAAGGCGGCCUUCUGGACUGACACUGACGCUGAGGUGCGAAAGCGUGGGUAGCAAACAGGAUUAGAUACCCGUGUAGUC
rnacentral:rRNA from 1 species